GGUUGAUCCUGCCAGUAGUCAUAUGCUUGUCUUAAAGAUUAAGCCAUGCAUGUUUAAGUUCAUACCCUUGAAUGGUGAAACCGCGAAUGGCUCAUUAAAUCAGUUAUAAUUUUAUGGGAUGUGAUUUGUUAAUUGGAUAACUGUGGUAAUUCUAGAGCUAAUACAUGCAUCAUACGGCUGGGUUCGCCCCGGCUGUGCUUUUAUUAGUGCAAACCAGGCCUCCGGGCAGCAAAAUGGUGACUCUGAAUAACUUUGCCGAGCAUUGAAGCUUCAAGCUAGUGCUAUUCCUUCAA
rnacentral:rRNA from 1 species